UGCGAGCGUGACGGCGCGAGCAGGUGCGAAAGCAGGUCAUAGUGAUCCGGUGGUUCUGAAUGGAAGGGCCAUCGCUCAACGGAUAAAAGGUACUCCGGGGAUAACAGGCUGAUACCGCCCAAGAGUUCAUAUCGACGGCGGUGUUUGGCACCUCGAUGUCGGCUCAUCACAUCCUGGGGCUGAAGUAGGUCCCAAGGGUAUGGCUGUUCGCCAUUUAAAGUGGUACGCGAGCUGGGUUUAGAACGUCGUGAGACAGUUCGGUCCCUAUCUGCCGUGGGCGCUGGAGAACUGAGGGGGGCUGCUCCUAGUACGAGAGGACCGGAGUGGACGCAUCACUGGUGUUCGGGUUGUCAUGCCAAUGGCACUGCCCGGUAGCUAAAUGCGGAAGAGAUAAGUGCUGAAAGCAUCUAAGCACGAAACUUGCCCCGAGAUGAGUUCUCCCUGACCCUUUAAGGGUCCUGAAGGA
rnacentral:rRNA from 1 species